GUUGAGUUAAUUAUAGAAAUAAAAAUCAUAGGUUAAACGCCGAGUUACGUAUUUUUAACUCGGCUCUUGAAUUAAAAAUAUUGUUAGGUCGUCAACGCCCGGCCUUGUCGAUUUUAUUAUUGUUAUUAUUUGUUAAAAUAUUUAUUAUAUAUCGUAUAUAAAUAUAUGGUGGUGAAGGAAGGAGGUGGGAAGUCGUAAUAAAUCGUAAAUUUUAACGUCGUCGUAUAAUAUAAUAUAAUAAUAAUAUGAUAUAGUAUAAUAUUUUGCAUUUAAUUAUCACUAAUUUUUUUUUGUUUUUUUUGUUUAUUUUUUUAGUACACGAUUUAAUUAUUUUAUUUCUCUACAAAAAUAUUAUUGCCCGCGUUUCCAUCACACAUUUUUUUUUUCGAUUAGAAAACAUAAGAAUCAAAAAAAUCAAAUAAAUAACAAAGAUUAAACGCCCGUCAUCGUACCGUAAUGAUAACAACAUUGUAAUAAUAGAUAAUAAUUUUUAAUAAUAACGUUGUCCAUCUGCCUAACUGUUAUCGAAUUGACUAUAAAUAUUACGAUUAUAAUAUUGUUUUACUCGUACAUUAUAAUACCUUGUACACCACUCGUCGGGUGUGGUAUCACUGACCGCGUGCAGUACCUAGUCAAAUGGAAAAGAACGCUAGAAUUGUGUUUUCAUCUUU